CAAAAAUUAAUAUAAAUAACUGUUUAGUAGAUAUACCCCAAAUGAAAACAUGCAUGCAUUAAAUUAUGUAUUUCUUCAUUGUGGAUAUGUCUAAAAUCUGCUUGCAGAUCUCUUGUCUGCUGCUUUUGCCAGCCCUCCCCUUCUAACCCCGCCCAGACUUCCUGUGGCUGUCCAAUCACAGACUUCCCAAUGCAGCUCAAUGAGAAGUCUUUGCAAGGCAGGUGCUCUGGGCAAUUGCUGCCUCUUGAGUUUAUCUCCACUGAGCUAAACAAACCAGGAAGUAACAGGACCAGCUGUCUGAUUGAAAGACAAGGGGGUGUAAACAGGUUAAUUUAUAAAAGUGUCAAUUUCUAUUGAAAUCUGCACUUUUUCAAAAUAAAAAAAUA